rnacentral:tRNA from 1 species
AUCUAGCUGGUUCAGUUGGAGAACAUGUGACUCUUGAUCUCAGGGUUGUGAAUUCAAGCUCCUUGUUGGGUG